AGGGUUCGAUUAUGGCUCAGGACGAACGCUGGCGGCGUGCUUUAUACAUGCAAGUCAAGGAGAUCCUAUUCUUCGGAAUAGUAGUAAACCGGCGAACGGGUGAGUAACACGUAGGUAACCCGCCCUAGAGAUUGGGACAACUUCGGGAAACCGGAGCUAAAACCGGAUAAUGCAGCGGAUCCUUCGGGAUACAGUCGUUAAAGCGGGCUUCGGCUCGUACUUUAGGAUGGGCCUGCGUCCGAUUAGCUUGUUGGUGGGGUAAAGGCCUACCAAGGCGAUGAUCGGUAGCUGGUCUGAGAGGAUGAUCAGCCACACUGGGAUUGAGAUACGGCCCAGACCUCUACGGGGGGCAGCAGUAGGGAAUUUGCGCAAUGGGCGAAAGCCUGACGCAGCAACGCCGCGUGAUCGAUGAAGCUUCUAGGAGCGUAAAGAUCUGUCGUAAGGGAAGAAAAAUUCGAAGGGUAAAUAAUUUUUUGUUUUUUGACGGUACCCUUACAAGAAAGCACCCGGCUAAACUUUCGUGCCCAGCCCGCCCGCGGUAAU
rnacentral:rRNA from 1 species